UAGUAUAUUCAGAUUUUUGCUUUUUUUUUUUUUUUUUUUUGAGACAGGGUCUCACAGUGUCACCCAGGCUGGAGUGCAGUGGCAUGAUGAUGGCUCACUGCAGCCUUGACCUCUUGGGCUCAAGCAAUUCUCCCACCUCAGCCUCCGGAGUAGCUGGAACCACAGGAUUAAAGAAUCGGGUUAGUCAGUCUUGGUGGUGCAUGCCUGUAAUCCCAGUUACUGAAGAGGCUGAGAGGGAGGAUCCCUUGAGCCCAGGAGUUUGAAUCCAGCAUGGGCAGCAAAGCAAGACCCAAUCUCUUAUUUUCAAAUGUAAAAAAUUAAAAAAACAAAUUGGGGAAAUAUAAACUCAAGUUUUACUAAUCUUUUCAAGUUCCUCUAUGUUUUAACAAUGUGUCAUACACUUUACACAUUAUCUUAUUUCCUCCAUUCAGCAGUUUAUGAGGAAGUUCCUUUUUUUUUCUUUCUUUUUUUUUUUUUUUUUAAGAGAAAGGGUCUCCUUCCAUCAUUCAGGCUGGAGUGCAG
rnacentral:lncRNA from 1 species